rnacentral:rRNA from 1 species
AUGGCCGUCCUCAGAGCAUCCCUGCUCCCACCCCAGCCUCUUCCCUCUUCCUCCUCCUCCUCCACCCCCCAGUCUCAGCGGCUCCCCAGUGGCAGCAUCACCGCUGCAGCCCUGUCAAGAACAAGCCCGCACCCUCCUCCUCUCAAGACCGGCUGCCGCGGCAGCGCCAAGAAGAUCCUUCUUGCAGGAAGAGGGCGACUCCCCUGCUUGCCCACAAAGCAAGAGGUCGUCGCGGUAGGCGGUGCGGAGGAGGAACGAUACCUCGCGAGGGAGGCCGGGUGGGGAGUGCGGCGGAUGGGGCGGAUCGGCGAGGAGAUGAGGCGGGUGGCGCUCGUGCAGGCCGAGGCCUUCCACGUCCCCGUUGCGCUCUUCAACGACUUCUUCUUCGAUUUCUUCAAAGCAGAGGUGUUGGCGGCGCUCAUUUACAAACUGAGGAAUUCGCCGCCUGACAGGUAUGCGUGCUUGGUGGCAGAAGAAGCUGAUGAGCCGUCGCAGUCGCAGGCACCAUUUGAGAAGAUCAUUGGGGUGGUGGAUUGCACGGUGCAGGAUGAAGGCGACAUCCUUAGGAACCUCCAAGGUGUCCAGGAGUACUUUUACGUAUCAGGAAUAGCAGUGCUGCCAUCAUACAGGAGGAGGAAGGUGGGCACCGCCCUGCUGAAAGCGUGCGAGGUGUUGGCUCUAGAAUGGAGGCAGAGAUUCAUGGCUCUUAGGGCAUACGAGGAUGACAGCAGCGCUCGAGGACUCUACGCAAAGGCAGGGUACAGGGUGGUGUCAAGGGAUCCUGGAUGGGUCACCUGGGUUGGGAGGAGGAGGCGUGUUCUCAUGGUAAAAGAAUUGCCGGUUCAUGAUGCUCAGAUCCAACAGCAAUGA